GUCCACGCCCUAAACGAUGCGAACUAGUCGUUGGAGGAGCAAUCCUUUAGUGACGCAGCUAACGCGUGAAGUUCGCCGCCUGGGGAGUACGGUCGCAAGAUUAAAACUCAAAGGAAUUGACGGGGCCCGCACAAGCGGUGGAUGAUGUGGAUUAAUUCGAUGCAACGCGAAAAACCUUACCUACCCUUGACAUGCCAGGAAGCCCGAUGAGAGUUGGGUGUGCCCGAAAGGGAGCCUGGACACAGGUGCUGCAUGGCUGUCGU
rnacentral:rRNA from 1 species